UUCAUCUAUCGACUCUUGAAUCUCUUCAAGCUCGAUUUGCCUCCCACUGUCUCCUUGGCUUAUGAGUUCUCGCUCUCGGAAAACUCCUCUCCUCGCAACGAAGACAACAUUGUCCUUCGGUCUAUAGAAGAGAUAUCCAAAGGAUGUCUGCGGGUAGCCGAUGAAAAUACAUCGCUCACUUCGAGGUUCAAGCUUGUCGUGAGUAUCUCGUCUUACGAAAGCCUCGCAACCCCAAACCUUGAUAUGUGCCAACGAGGGAGCUUUCCCUGUCCACAUCUCGUGAGGUGUUUUGGCAACCUUCUUAGUAGGGACUCGGUUAAGGAUAUGGGCGGCAGUCUCUAAGGCAUACCCCCAAAAAGAGAUAGGUAGUGAAGCACGACUCAUCAUAGAGCGAACCAUAUCCAAUAAGGUUCGAUUACGCCUUUCUGCCACACCAUUCAACUGCGGUGUCCUAGGAGGCGUCAAUUGCGAAACUAUUCCACACUCCUUGAGAUAAUCGUGGAAUUCAAGACUUAGGUACUCUCCUCCUCGAUCGGAUCGAAGCAUCUUGAUUUUCCUGCCCAAUUGAUUCUCCACUUCAUUCUUGAACUCUUUGAACUUUUCAAAGGUGUCUGACUUUUGCUUGAUUAAGUAGAUAUACCCAUAUCUACUAUAGUCAUCGGUAAAAGUCACAUAGAAGCGGUUCCCAUCCUUCGUGGUUGAUCUAAACGGUCCACAUACAUCGGUAUGUAUUAGGUCCAAUAGACCCUCGCCCCUUUCACAUGUACUCGUGAAGGGUGACUUAGUCAUCUUUCCAAGCAAACAAGACUCGCAUGUGUCAUCUUCCCUAAGGUCGAAUGACUCCAACACUCCAUCCUUUUGGAGUUGGGCUAUGCGUUUCUUGUUGACAUGUCCAAGACGACAAUGCCACAAGGAUGCUUUAUCCAUACUAGUGGAAGAAUCAAUAUUCAAAACAUCAUUUCCUAAGUUAUCAACAAUCAUAACGGUUUCAUAUAUUCCAUUACAUGGUAUAGCUUCAAAGUAAAAGACACCAUUUAGAUAAGCCAAAAUAGAACCAUUCUCAUUAUUAAAAGAAAAUCUAAAUCCUUGUCUAUAUAAACCAUGAAAUGAAAUGAUGUUUCUUGCCAUUUCUGGCGAAUAGCAACAAUUGUUCAAAUCUAAAACUAAACUAUUCCUAAGCACUAAGGAAUACACUCCAAUCUUGGUCACAGGCGACGAUCUUCUGUUCCCCAUGAUUAGAUUGAUCCUUCCUUGCUCCACAUCCCUACUUCUUCUUAGUCCCUGCACAUUAGAACAAAUGUGAUAACCACAACCGGUAUCAAGAACCCAAGAAAUAGCAUGAUUAGAAUCGUUAGAUUUGAUUGUAUAUAUACCUGCGAAAGAUGGCUUGAUCUUUCCUUCUUUGAUUGCUUGCAGGUAAUCCGGGCAGCUUCUCUUCCAAUGUCCUAUCUUGUGGCAGUGGUGGCACUCUGCCUCCUUCGGGUUAGAGCAGGGCUUGGCGGGAUCAACUUUGGUCCCACUAGAAGAGGCACCAUCUCGGGCUUUCACCUUGCGAUAGUUCUUCGAUGAAGCUUUCCUCUUCUUUCCCUUCCCUUGUCCAAUAGCCAAGACAGGAGCAGCGGGCGGAUUGGGAGUAGGUGCAACAGACUUGUCUUUGAAGUUGCUCUCAGCAACCCUCAAGAGACCUUGGAGCUUGCUUAGGGUGACCUCUUCUUUGUUCAUGUGGUAGGUCAUCCUAAAUUGGUUGUACAUCGGAGGCAAAGAGUGAAGCACCAUGUCGAUCGCCAAGUCUUCACCGAAGUCAACAUUUAACUUGCGGAGGCGGUCAACAUACCUUUGCAUCUUUUGCAAGUGCACGGUAAGAGAUUCUCCAUGACCCAUCUUCGCGGAAAUCAUGUUAGUGAAAAUCUCGUACCUCUCUUGUCUCGCGUUUUGGUGGUACCUCUCCAAUAAGUCUUGAUGCAUCUCGUACGGGUACAUGUCCUCGUAGGACUUUUGGAAUUCGGAGUUCAUGGUGGCGAUCAUGAUGCAAUGUACCUUCGUUGCAUCUCGCUCAUGAGUUUCAAAGGCGGUGAUUUCGGCGGGAGUAGCAAUUUCGGGGUUGAUUUUCUCGAGCUUCUCAUCGAGGACAUACUCCUUAUCCUCAUAGCGAGCAAUGGUGCGAAUGUAUCUUAUCCAUUCGCUAAAGUUCGUUCCAUCGAAGGUGACCUUUUGGCAAAGGCUCAUCAACGUGAAAGAACUAGCAGCAGCGUUGUUUGCGUUCGACAUCUACAAUUAGAAAAGGACAAAGAUAGAUUAGAAUAAGAAUCCCUAAUUAUCACCCAAUAAGAAAAUUAGGGCUAGGAUCCAACAAUAACAUUUACAUACUAGAAAAGGGAUGCCGUAAUCUAACAUGCAAAUAAAUUGAAGGUAAGUGAAUGACGAUUCACUAAUUCUCCAUCACAAAACUUAAACUAUUAGUCCUAAGUGUUUUUGAGAAUUCCUAGGUUCGGAUGAGAUUCAUUGAAACUAUUCAAUGGCAUGUUUAAAUCUCGAUAUGCCCCUCUUGUUUGUGACUGGGAUGCCGAGGAUCACAAAGCGGGUGUGAAUUACCAUGCAAAUUCACAUGGUGCCUUCAUUGUAACAAUCACCUAUUCGAUGUGCCGGUAAACCACACACGCUCCAUCGAACUAUGAUAAACAAUGAAUCACCCUUUGCCACCUUCGCUUAGAACCAAUUAGUGUGCCGGUAAACCACACACGCUCCACUAACAUCUUAGCAAGGUGCAAAGUGUAAUUUCAUGGGAUUGCAUCAAUUCACUUUUCCUAAAGUAACUAGGAUUGGGAAAUUUUAAAAAAAUGUGUAGUUACUUUAUAUUUCUUAUUAUACUUUUAAUGAGAGGAUGAGGUUGCCCUAUCCUACCCGUUCGGCUAACGACCCUCCACCAAUCAAGCAAGCGGUGGGUGUGAGUGUACACCCAUUAAGCGCCAUUUUAUAGGCCGCAACCUUAUACCCACCUUAUAGAUCGGCUUCGUGAAUGAGGCCUACUAACGGUAAGACUAGCAUUUAGUUAUACAUAUAUAUAUUAUUCUAGUAAUAUCAUAUUAGUAUAGGGUUGUAUUUUAAAACUUUUAAAAUCUAGGGUUUGAAAUUUAAGUUGUCUAAAUUAAAACUUUUAAUCACAAAAGUAAAUUUCAAAACAUGAGGGUAGGUUUUAAACAUUUAAAACAUGGAGGAUCAAAUAACAAAUAAUUCCAAUUAACAAUUAAUAUCCUAAUUAUCUAUAUUUGAUUUAUUCAAGAUUUCUUUUAAAGAUAAUUACCAAAAUAAUCAAAAUAAUUAAUUAAUUAUCAUAUAAGGAAAUUAAAUAUUUAAUUAGUUGAUAAUUACCUUUAACUAGAUCAAGAUAAUAGUUAUAUUUAUCAGAAAAACGAAUUAAUGUUGAUCUAAUUAGUUUAUGGUAAGUUAAGAUAAGAUAAACACAAAGAAAUCCCGAAUCUGGCCAUUCCUGACGCCUGGACUCGCCGAGUGCACAAAUGGACUCGCCGAGUCAGGCCUACUCGCCGAGUCCACUUUGAGACUCGCCGAGUCCAUGACUCAGAAACCAAAAAUUCGAAUUUUGCAGGUUUGUUUCAGUUAAUCAAGCAACAAUUUACAGAAAACCAAGCUAGGCUCUGAUACCACUGAUGGGUUUUAGCCAUAAGAACUUUCCUAUGUGCGCAUGCAAAACCCUAAUGCUUGGAUCUAGGCUUUCUAAUAAACAUGCUUUGAAUCCAAGACUUCUAAUUACUAAUUAGGUUAAACAAGAACAUUAAAACAGAUCUAGAAUCAUACCUUUGAGUUCCUUGUUGAUCUUGAGGUCUUGGAGCUUCUAGAGUCACAAAUGUCACUCCUCUAAUGGCUUACAAACACCAAAGCAAGGAGGAUGAUUUGGGAGAGAGGAGAGGGGAGGAAUUUCGACCAGAGGUUCCUUACUUUAGGUCAAGUGUCGAAUUCCAUCAGCCAUGGGGUCUAUUUAUACUUGUAGACUCCUUAAGGAUUACAGAUAAGUCCCUAUCAGAUAAUCUUCUCUUAAGGCUAUCCAAAUCCAUUCCUAGAUAACUCUAAUGGACGAUUUUAGCUAUCCUAAUCCUCUUAGAAUUCGUCCAUAGUAUAUCCAAAUGGAUUUACAGUUUAAAGCUUAACUAUCAAACAAUUGACAGUUUAUACCCCUUUAUUUAAUUAAUCUCUUUAAGUCACCAAAUUAAUUCUAAUUAAUUCUAUGACUUAUAUUAAUCAAAUAACAAAUAUAUUAUUCAUUAUAUUAUUCCCAUAAUAUAUUAAUAAUAUUUAUUCUCUCUUAAUAAAUCAUCCUAUCAAGUUGCUAUGGUGAAGGCAACCCAAAAGGACCAUGCACAACCGGAUAUAGUUACAGCCUUAGACACUAUUCCAACAGUCUCCCACUUGGAUAAGUCUAGUAACUAUACAAGUACAAUUCGGUUUGCAAUCGUAGCUCUCAAAGACGCUGUCAACUCUGAUCUAAUCAAUCUUGUCCUUUAGAUAAGGGAACGUACAGUCCUCUGUUAGAUAUCAUGCUGACAAUCCUAUGGAAUGGUUAGUCAAGCAUUUAGGUUUCUCGAUCUCUGAUUUAUUUGACAUAGAACUUAAUCGAACACAUCAAUUCAGUUCUGACCGGGCCCGGCACAUAAGUCAAAUCAAAUCAUCGAGCGGCCGAGAUAUCGCUUUUACCUUCUUAGAUAAAAGUUACAGAUAAACUUCGACUUAUAUGCAUUUACUUAUUCAUUAACCAACUAUACACAACAAUACGUUUUAUAACACCAAGUUACUGAUGCGUUUUCGUAUUAUCAAUGUACAAUCAAUUAACAAAUAAUAAACCAUAUAUCUAGGUUUUAAGACUAUAUGAUAUUAUCGUCUUGCGAUCACCUUUUAUAUCGUAUUCCAUAAGGUGAUUCCAGCAAGCGCGGGUUUAUUCCAAUGCUCAAAACUAGUUCAUAAGCACUCAUGAACGUUGCAGCAAUCCUUUGCUAUGUCUAACACCAUUUAGACAUUCUACACACCAAUUCAUGACAAUCUUCUUUCAUAUCUACUCCCAACAUAUGAACGAUUGUGGACCAUUUGAAUAAUUCGAUUAUUCCUAAUAAACUCAAUUAUUCUGGAAGUCAAAACAUGCAAAGUGAAACAAUAGCUAAACAAUUAACAUAAGAUAGUAACAUUACUCAUAAAUAAAACUCCUUUAUUUAAUCAUCAAAUGUCAAUUACAUUUAUCUAUUACACGUUUCUAAUACUAUCUAAUCUAUGCUAAUAUCAUCCUUCAGCCCAAUACUCCUAGCAUGCUGCAAGUGCUUAACCCUACUCAGUCCCUUCGUAAGCGGAUCUGCUGGGUUAUCUUCUGAUGAUAUCCUCUUCACUACGAGUUGUCCUUCUUCUACACGAUGUCUAAUGAAGUGAUACUUUCUGUCGAUAUGUCUUGAUCUACCAUGAUCCCUCGGUUCCUUGGUUAAGGCAACCGCACCUUCGUUAUCACAGAAAAUCUCCAUUGGCUCCUUUAUGGCAGGUACGACUCCAAGAUCACCGAUGAAGUUCUUUAGCCAUAUUGCCUCCUUCGACGCUUCGCUCGCUGCAAUGUACUCUGAUUCGCACGUUGAAUCAGCUACGGUUUCCUGCUUGGAACUCUUCCAUGUCACUGCUCCUCCAUUUAGGGUAAAGACCCAGCCCGACUGCGAACGGUAGUUGUCCCUGUCGGUCUGAAAACUGGCGUCACUAUACCCUCGCACCUUCAAGUCAUCACUCCCUCCGAGGACUAAGAACCAUUCCUUCGUCCUCCGAAGGUACUUAAGGAUAUUCUUCACCGCAAUCCAAUGUGCUUUGCCAGGAUUCCCUUGAUAUCUGCUAACCAUGCUCAAAGCGAAGGCUACAUCAGGGCGAGUACAAGUCAUAGCGUACAUGAUUGAGCCAACUGCGGAAGCGUAUGGUACUCGGCUCAUUUCUGCUAUCUCAGCUUCGGUACUCGGACUUUGAGUCUUACUCAAUUUGGCAUUACUUUGUAUCGGUAGUUCUCCCUUCUUUGAGUUUUCCAUACUAAAACGUUUUAGUACCUUCUCUAAGUAAGUAUUCUGACUAAGUCCAAUUAGUCUCUUACUUCUUUCUCUUACUAUCCUUAUUCCCAAAAUGUAAGAAGCCUCUCCGAGGUCCUUCAUAGCGAAGCACUUCCCGAGCCAGGACUUAACCUCCUGCAGAGUCGGGAUGUCGUUUCCUAUGAGUAAUAUGUCAUCGACAUAUAGAACGAGGAAGCUUACUAUACUCCCACUGGCUUUGACAUAUACACAAGAUUCGUCUUCGCUUCGUACAAAUCCAAACUCUUUGACUUUCUCAUCGAAGCAAAGAUUCCAUCUGCGAGACGCUUGCUUAAGUCCAUAAAUGGACUUCUCAAGCUUACACACUCUAUUCGGAUGCUUCGGAUCCACAAACCCCUCUGGCUGAGCCAUGUAAACAUCCUCAGCCAACUUUCCGUUAAGGAAAGCGGUCUUGACAUCCAUUUGCCAAAUCUCAUAAUCAUGAAAUGCGGCAAUUGCUAGCAUCACUCUAAUAGAUUUAAUCUUCGCAACUGGUGAGAAGGUCUCAUCAUAGUCAACUCCGGGAGUUUGAGUAAAGCCCUUCGCAACCAAUCGCGCUUUAUAUGUGUGUACGUUUCCAUCCACGUCGGUCUUCUUCUUGAAGAUCCAUUUGCACCCAACGGUCUUACGUCCGGGCACAUAAUCAACCAAAUUCCAAACUUGGUUAUCAUACAUGGAUUGGAUCUCGCUAUCCAUUGCCUCUUUCCAUUUUGCAGACUCCGGGCCUGCCAUGGCUUCCUUAUAGCUAUUAGGUUCAUCAAGAUUUAUUAGUGUACCAUCACUAAUAUACGUGUCCCCUUCGGUAGUAAUAUGAAAACCAUAAAACUGGGGUUGAACUCUAACUCUAUCGGAACGUCUAAGAGGUAAGGAUUCGUCAAUCGGUUCAACCGGAGUUUCCUCCUCGGGUUGAGUGCCAGCGGUAGAGGUUCCUUCAUCUAUCGACUCUUGAAUCUCUUCAAGCUCGAUUUGCCUCCCUGUUCACAUCUUGUGAGGUGUUUAGGAAACCUUCUUAGUAGGGACUCGGUUAAGGAUAUGGGUGGCAAUCUCUAAGGCAUACCCCCAAAAAGAGAUAGAUAGUGAAGCACGACUCAUCAUAGAGCAAACCAUAUCCAAUAAGGUUCGAUUACGCCUUUCUGCCACACCAUUCAACUACGGUGUCCUAGGAGGCGUCAAUUGUGAAACUAUUCCACACUCCUUGAGAUAAUCGUGGAAUUCAAGACUUAGGUACACUCCUCCUCGUUCGGAUCGAAG
rnacentral:lncRNA from 1 species